GCUCGGGUGGUGGAAUAGGUAGACACGCAGGACUUAAAAUCCUGUGCCGUAACAGGCGUGCGGGUUCGAUUCCCGCCCCGAGUA
rnacentral:tRNA from 1 species